rnacentral:rRNA from 1 species
GACGAACGCUGGCGGCGUGCUUAACACAUGCAAGUCGAACGGUGAAGCGCCUUCCUUUUUGGUGGGUGUGGAUGAGUGGCGAACGGGUGAGUAACACGUGAGUAACCUGCCCCCUUCUUCUGGAUAACCGCAUGAAAGUGUGGCUAAUACGGGAUAUUCUGGGUCUGUCGCAUGAUGGGUCUGGGAAAGAUAUUGUUUCGGUGGGGGAUGGGCUCGCGGCCUAUCAGCUUGUUGGUGGGGUGAUGGCCUACCAAGGCGGUGACGGGUAGCCGGCCUGAGAGGGUGGACGGUCACACUGGGACUGAGACACGGCCCAGACUCCUACGGGAGGCAGCAGUGGGGAAUAUUGCACAAUGGGCGGAAGCCUGAUGCAGCGACGCCGCGUGAGGGAUGGAGGCCUUCGGGUUGUGAACCUCUUUCGCCAGUGAAGCAGGCCUGCCUCGUUUGUGGGUGGGUUGACGGUAGCUGGAUAAGAAGCGCCGGCUAACUACGUG